AUUGAACGCUGGCGGAAUGCUUUACACAUGCAAGUCGAGCGGCAGCGCGGGGGCAACCCUGGCGGCGAGCGGCGAACGGGUGAGUAAUACAUCGGAACGUGUCCUGUCGUGGGGGAUAGCCCGGCGAAAGCCGGAUUAAUACCGCAUACGACCUGAGGGUGAAAGUGGGGGACCGCAAGGCCUCACGCGACAGGAGUGGCCGAUGUCGGAUUAGCUUGUUGGUGGGGUAAUGGCCUACCAAGGCGACGAUCCGUAGCUGGUCUGAGAGGA
rnacentral:rRNA from 1 species